rnacentral:lncRNA from 1 species
CUCAACCAAGCUAUUCCUUCACGGAUCGUGGUUGUGGAGACCAUUUUCAAGUUCCUUUCGAGCCUAGGAACCCAGCGAUACUAUUAUUUGGAUGUGAAACCUCGAAAAACUUGAGAAACUAUAACCUCCGAUUUGAGGUACUAUUCAUUCACACGUAAAUAUGUAGUUUUCUGAGAGUUUUGAAGUUAUAGGGAGCUUUAGAUUGUCUUCACGAGGCUCGGAGAAGAAAAAUGAAGUGAUUUGGAUGUUGGGAAGCUCGGGAAUAGGGAGUUACAGGUUUGGCCUGAAUAUCGAGGGAUUUUCCGACGAGUUCAGUCGGUUUUAGGACUUUUGAAAGGUAAGGUUUUGUUGUACUUGUCUUAAGCUUCAUUUUGGUAUAAAAUUUGUGGAAUUUGGUUGAAAAAUGAAAAAGAUUUGAAGGUUUUUCGAAUUUCUAGUUUCUGGCGACCGGCGAUUCGCCAGAGAAGAAAGGAGAAUAUUCCGUCAGUUUUGACGGAAUAUUCCUAACGACAGCUAACGGUGUCAGGUUAGUUUUAACGGAAUAUUCUAAUUUUUAGCAGAAUAUUCCUUAACAGCGGUUAAGGAUUCCGUUAGGGUUGGCCGCGUGUGGAGGCGCAUGAGACGUCGGAAAUUUUUUCUAAAAAUUUGGACGUGUUCGUGGAGUUGUGUAGGUCACGUUGGUAUAUUUAUAUACCUCAUUUGAGCAAUGUAUGAGAAGUUAUUAGCUAGUAUUGGUUAUGUGCUUUAAAUUAAUGUUUUUAUAGUUGUUUCGCAUAUAGGGGAGACUUAUACCGAGGAUGAGCGCAGUCAAGGGCGACUUGGGGGCUACGACCCUUCGACAUACCAGUGAGUGGGCUCUUGAUUUUAAGUAUAUAUGUAUAUGCUUGGUAUCUCUUCCCAGAAAAUGCAUUUAAAUGAGUUAUGACUUAAAUUGCCAUGCCAAAUGAUUUACACUUAGAAUAUGCAUAUGAUGUGUGCAUGUAUAUAUAAUUGUGGUGCUGAGGAUGCUCAGGUAAGUCCCAGGUGAGUAUAUGAACUGUAAAUGUGAAUAACGGUUGUGAUUAGUUGAGAAAUAUUGAGCUCAUAAACCUGCACCCCGGUGUUAGUGAUUUAGCCAGAGAUAUGGCACGGACCUAUAUAUAAUGUCACCUCCCGCACCCCAUGCUCACAUUGGAUCCAAUUUAGGUGCACAGUCUUGUCGUACAGACCAUUAUAGGUGGUUCCGACUCGUUGAUGACUAGCGAUUUAUCGCACAGUUAUCUUAAGAGCGUAGCAUUGAGCAUAACUAUAUUACACCCAGUCUUGUUGUAUAGACCUUUGCAGUGGUUCCGACUCGUGUGCAGUGUAGUGCCGUAUAGGUCACUUGCAGUGACUCCGGCUAGAUUGACUAAUGAGCUAUGAAUUCAGCCGUACAGACUUCUGCAGGGGUUCCGGCUAAUAUGUUAUUUUCCAUGAAUUUAAUUUCACCUGAGUUACUUAUUCUGUUUUAUAUUUGGCAUGGCAUAUUUAUGUUUAUGGAUAUGUGAAGCAUGAUUUAAAUAUAUAUACAUACAUAUUUAUAUUGAUAUUCUAUUUCUGGAGAAAUUAUACAUGUUUUACGGCAAGAGGUUAGAGCAUUUUGAUAAAUGAAAUGAUUUGGAAAAGCUUUGUUUUUGCCCACUCACGUUUUCUGUUUUGCGCCCCUCCAGGUUUUAGGUAAGCUUGUUCGUUGGUGGCUCACAAGGAUUGAACGGAGCUUCUGACAAACUAUCACAAUGUAGGACAUCCUUGGGUGUCGUUUAAUUAGUACUUAUUUUCUGGACUGAACUUAGGCUACUUAUGCUCUGAUUGUGUAUUCACACAUUUUCUAGCACUUAUCUUAACUAGUACUCUUAUGAAUUGGUUUUUAAUUAUUCGUAUUCUCUAUUAUUAUUGUGCUUCCGCACUGUGCACAUGGCUACGUCACCCUCAUGUGACGGCAAGCAUGCCCUGAUUCAGGUCGGGGUGUGUCAUUGAAGGUUUUUUUUUAUUAUAUUUUCUUG